rnacentral:rRNA from 1 species
AGCGAACGCUGGCGGCAGGCUUAACACAUGCAAGUCGAGCGGGUGUAGCAAUACAUCAGCGGCAGACGGGUGAGUAACGCGUGGGAACGUACCUUUUGGUUCGGAACAACCCAGGGAAACUUGGGCUAAUACCGGAUAAGCCCUUACGGGGAAAGAUUUAUCGCCGAAAGAUCGGCCCGCGUCUGAGUAGCUAGUUGGUGAGGUAAUGGCUCACCAAGGCGACGGACAGUAGCUGGUAUGAGAGGAUGAUCAGCCACAUUGGGACUGAGACACGGCCCAAACUCCUACGGGAGGCAGCAGUGGGGAAUAUUGGACAAUGGGGGCAACCCUGAUCCAGCCAUGCCGCGUGAGUGAUGAAGGCCCUAGGGUUGUAAAGCUCUUUUGUGCGGGAAGAUAAUGACGGUACCGCAAGAAUAAGCCCCGGCUAACUUCGUGCCAGCCGCCGCGGUAA